rnacentral:rRNA from 1 species
AUUGAACGCUGGCGGCAGGCUUAACACAUGCAAGUCGAGCGGGGUGAUGGUGCUUGCACAAUCACUUAGCGGCGGACGGGUGAGUAAUGCUUAGGAAUCUGCCUAUUAGUGGGGGACAACAUCUCGAAAGGGAUGCUAAUACCGCAUACGUCCUACGGGAGAAAGCAGGGGAUCACUUGUGACCUUGCGCUAAUAGAUGAGCCUAAGUCGGAUUAGCUAGUUGGUGGGGUAAAGGCCUACCAAGGCGACGAUCUGUAGCGGGGCUGAGAGGAUGAUCCGCCACACCGGGACUGAGACACGGCCCAGACUCCUACGGGAGGCAGCAGUGGGGAAUAUUGGACAAUGGGGGGAACCCUGAUCCAGCCAUGCCGCGUGUGUGAAGAAGGCCUUAUGGUUGUAAAGCACUUUAAGCGAGGAGGAGGCUCUUUUGGUUAAUACCCAAGAUGAGUGGACGUUACUCGCAGAAUAAGCACCGGCUAACUCUGUGCCAGCCGCCGCCGUAA